rnacentral:rRNA from 1 species
UCCAGACUCCUACGGGAGGCAGCAGUGGGGGAUAUUGCACAAUGGGGGGAACCCUGAUGCAGCGACGCCGCGUGGGUGAAGGAGCGUUUCGGCGCGUAAAGCCCUAUCGGCAGGGAAGAAGGAGGACGGUACCUGACUAAGAAGCCCCGGCUAACUACGUGCCAGCAGCCGCGGUAAUACGUAGGGGGCAAGCGUUAUCCGGAUUUACUGGGUGUAAAGGGGGCGCAGACGGCAGCGCAAGCCAGGAGUGAAAGCCCGGGGCCCAACCCCGGGACUGCUCUUGGAACUGCGUGGCUGGAGUGCAGGAGGGGCAGGCGGAAUUCCUGGUGUAGCGGUGAAAUGCGUAGAUAUCAGGAGGAACACCGGUGGCGAAGGCGGCCUGCUGGACUGCAACUGACGUUGAGGCCCGAAAGCGUGGGGAGCAAACAGGAUUAGAUACCCCGGUA